ensembl:snoRNA Snord73a small nucleolar RNA SNORD73
AAUAUGUGAUGAGAAAAUGUUUCGGUCCCAGUUGAUGACCACUGAUAACUAUUACAUUUUUCUGAUGUU